GGAGACAAUACCAACACGAUUGGUAUUGUUGAAAGUGCUACACAAAAGCAAAUAGAGUAUUUCAGAGACUCUUUCAGAGAAGGAUCUUAGUCAUUCAUCUCAGGAUGCCAAUCAAGAAGAAAAAAACAGAGUAAAUGCACAAGUAGAAGGACACAAAAUUUUAUCAAAAUCAGUGAAAGAGGAAGAAGAACCUAAAGGAAGUGAAAAUAACCAGCCACAGAAUUUAUCAGAGAAUCUUACCAAGGAGGAUCUUAGUGGUUCUUCUUGGACUGGCAAUUCAAAUGGAUACAAGACAGUACCCAAACAAGUAAAG